ACGAACGCUGGCGGCGUGCUUAACACAUGCAAGUCGAACGGAAAGGCCCUGCUUUUGUGGGGUGCUCGAGUGGCGAACGGGUGAGUAACACGUGAGUAACCUGCCCUUGACUUUGGGUUAACUUCAGGAAACUGGGGCUAAUACCGGAUAGGAGCUCCUGCUGCAUGGUGGGGGUUGGAAAGUUUCGGCGGUUGGGGAUGGACUCGCGGCUUAUCAGCUUGUUGGUGGGGUAGUGGCUUACCAAGGCUUUGACGGGUAGCCGGCCUGAGAGGGUGACCGGCCACAUUGGGACUGAGAUACGGCCCAGACUCCUACGGGAGGCAGCAGUGGGGAAUAUUGCACAAUGGGCGGAAGCCUGAUGCAGCAACGCCGCGUGCGGGAUGACGGCAUUCGGGUUGUAAACCGCUUUCGCCUGUGACGAAGCGUGAGUGACGGUAAUGGGUAAAGAAGCACCGGCUAACUACGUG
rnacentral:rRNA from 1 species